rnacentral:lncRNA from 1 species
GACCUUACAAGAUGAUCGAGAUACUUCAUUCGAAUGCGUAUUGAUUAGAAACUCUCGAUGGAGCGACUAUUCCUUGGAUUUGGAAUGCCAAUAAUUUGAAGAUAUACUAUCAAUAAAGUUAUUCAUAUGUACGACAUAUUCGGAAUGAAAUAUUGGAAUUUUAGAUCUUCUUAAAAUUUUUAAUUAUCUGUAAGUUAUCUACAAAAGUGGCA